rnacentral:rRNA from 1 species
AGGGAAUCUUCCACAAUGGACGAAGGUCUGAUGGAGCAACGCCGCGUGAGCGAUGAAGGCCUUCGGGUCGUAAAGCUCUGUUGUCAGGGAAGAACAAGUACCGGAGUAACUGCCGGUACCUUGACGGUACCUGACCAGAAAGCCACGGCUAACUACGUGCCAGCAGCCGCGGUAAUACGUAGGUGGCAAGCGUUGUCCGGAAUUAUUGGGCGUAAAGCGCGCGCAGGCGGUCCUUUAAGUCUGAUGCGAAAGCCCACGGCUCAACCGUGGAGGGUCAUUGGAAACUGGGGGACUUGAGUGCAGAAGAGGAAAGCGGAAUUCCACGUGUAGCGGUGAAAUGCGUAGAGAUGUGGAGGAACACCAGUGGCGAAGGCGGCUUUCUGGUCUGUAACUGACGCUGAGGCGCGAAAGCGUGGGGAGCAAAC